GUAGGGAAUAUUGGACAAUGGAGGGAACCCUGAUCCAGCCAUGCCGCGUGGAGGAAGACUGCCCUCUGGGUUGUAAACUCCUUUUAUAUGGGAAGAACCGUCCUCAUUAAUGAGUGACCUGACGGUACCAUAGGAAUAAGCACCGGCUAACUCCGUGCCAGCAGCCGCGAUAAUACGGAGGGUGCAAGCGUUAUCCGGAUUCACUGGGUUUAAAGGGUGCGUAGGCGGAUAAAUAAGUCAGUGGUGAAAUCAACGGGCUCAACCUGUUAACUGCCAUUGAUACUGUGUAUCUUGAAUAUGAGAGAGGUAGGCGGAAUGUUGCAUGUAGCGGUGAAAUGCUUAGAUAUGCUACGGAACACCGAUUGCGAAGGCAGCUUACUAUUUCGUAAUUGACGCUGAGGCACGAAAGCGUGGGUAGCGAACAGGAUUAGAAACCCCUGUAGUCC
rnacentral:rRNA from 1 species